GACCUAGUGGCAGGAGGCGCCGCACCUGCAUGGAGUGCAGAAUAUACGUUGAAGCGCAGCAGACGGUCCCUGGUUCGAAUCCAGGCUAGGUCC